CGAGGAAACAGCAAGCACGCAGAUACAAGUUUGAUGUCAUGGUCACGCUGGGGGGGCAUGACUCUACGUCUUAUCUGUCUCCACAAAGCUUGUGCUGCAUCGCUCUGCACUGGCCUGCGGUGACGUGUGUGUGCGUGUUACCCUGUGAUAACCCCAGAGCUUAAAGACAUGCAGGGAUUCCUCAGAACACAAGUGCCUCGGAUCUCAAGAGAAACACACCGAGCGGCUGGAGUUGCGAUCAGGUGAUGCUUGAAUUUUUCCAUUCCUUACGCAAGUGUCUCUAAUUACACCACACACAGAUGCUUUUAUUGUGUCACCACUGUUAACUCUUAGGAUAAGCUAUAUAAAGUAGCAGUGACAGUAGAGUGAGUAGCAAGUAUUACAGGGUCGUUCUGUUUUUUUUUUUCUGUUUUUUUUGUGCGACAACUAAACAAAGUAACAGCUCAGAUCUGGGGACGUUGCCACGGUUUUGCCUUCAGCUUUGUUUUCUCUCCUUGGCUCCAACUGUUCAGAGAAUAGUGUUCAUAUAUUACUAUUACGACUUAAGCAUGAAGCUAAAAUGUGAAUUUGAAAAGUGUGGGACGUCAAUUGGAUAUUGUAACAUUUUUAUUAUUCAGUUAUCGUUUUACUAACACCAAGAAACUUUAUUUAUGAAUUUAUUUGUAUUAUUUGUUUGUGCAGUUAACACAAUUCUAUUUAUCUCAUUCCAUACAUCUGUAAAUAUAUAAAAAUAUGUUUUUGAAAAUGUAGUUUUAUAAUUUUAUAGCAGCUUAACUUAAAUCAUUAAGAACUAACUACAAUAAUCAGUAAUAGACAUCUACUUUGGAUUCGGAUUCAAAAAGAUCAGAUUAUUAAAUAUCACGUCUUCACACAAACACAGGAAUGAUUACAGUUCAUUUUAAAACAAUUUCUCUCAAUUUGUCGCAAAGUAAAGAUUAAAAAAAAAUUCAAAAACUGAAUUGGCGUGCUUUGCUUGUGUAAAUGACGUAGAAACUACAGAAUUAAAACAAAUAGCUGAAUCAUAAUUAUCAAUUCAACCCUUUAAAAGCAAGUGUUGCUGGCGGCAUGUUUGUGCACUUUGGAUUACUGCAAUUACAUAAUUACAUGCGCUAUCGGAAAACUUCCAGAAGAUUUCAAAAGCUGACACUUUGUGCAAACUACCUCACUGCCUACAUUUUAGUAAAUGUAAAGGAAUUAUAUUAUAUGACCAUUUUUUAGCCAUUAUAAUUCCCAUUCCUGACUGUGUUUACAGAAUUUCCUUAUAUUUCUAUUUUCCAUAUAUUUUCCAGAUUGCUAUUAUUUUUUGUAUAUGUUGUAUGUUCUUUCAAAUUAGAUUUUUCAAAAUGUGUUUCAUGUAUAUAUUCUUGGCAAUUUUGUGACAAGGAAAUUUCCCAUUCUUGGGACAAAUAAAAAAUGUCUUAUUACAGUAAAUUGACUUGUACCUCUACUAUCACAUGUAGCAGAUUGUAAAUAACUGCCAGAUAUUGUUUGUAACAUUUGUGACAAAAAAUAAAAUAAAAAUAGGUCUGUUAACUUUACUAGAAAGUGCAAUUUGAAUUUCUCAUUAAUUUUUUAAUUUUUUAAUUUAUUUUGUUUUUAACAUUGAUAGACCGUGUAAAACUGGAGAUAUAAUAUAAUGCCAAAAUCAAAAGUAUUCAAAACACGACCAAAAAAGGUUAGAGACCCCUAUGGAUUAAAGAGUUAAUUGAACGGUUUAUUGAUGCUCUCAUCAUAGCCACAUAAAUUGAGAUGCUUGUUGUCAGUGUGGAUGUAUCACAGAGACAUGUAUAGCUGUAUACAUUUUGCCGUAAAGUGCACAACAAGACUUACGACGCCUUUAAAUGAACCCGCCAGAUUAGAGCUCCGUCCCAUCAUCCCUGCCCUGUGACUGCCUCUCCUCCCCACUCCUCCUUUCCUUUCCGUCCUCCCCCUUUCCUCUUCCUCUUUAGAGGUGUCAGAAGAAAAACAGCUACAGUACCAGUCUCUCUCUCUCUCUCUGUCUCUUCCACAACCACACAACGUGGGCUAUGUGAAGGCAGUGACUCUGCUGCUGCUGGCUGGCCCACUCACAGGAUAUAAGAGCUGUGAGCCCUGCCAAGGCGGUGAGGGGUCACACUGUGGGGAAUGUGUGCGUAAUAAGAUGCAAUGUGUGUGUUUGAGGAUGGCUUUGCCACACAUUAGCUCCCCAGCUGGCUAGUGGCCGUCCAAGCGGAGGACGCCCUUGUCCUCCUGACGCCGACGCGGUGCGGAUAAGGCUUCUUGUGAGACAUUCCACCCUCCCUAGCACUCUGACCGGCGCUUCCUGCUCUCGCUUCCCCGUCCGUCCCUUCCUCUUCGCCUGUGCACGUGCCAAUGUUACCCUCUGGCGUUUCCCGCCGUCCCAUCUAACGCUGUUCCACACCCCUGGGCUGGUCCCCCUGGCUCACUCACAGCGCCCAACGCCCACCUACGCCCCAGACUGGUGGACUCCCUCUGGACUUCCUGGAGAACCACCUUCCAUUAUCAGAACAACCGGCCCAGCCCAGAAACCCCGCUGCUGAGCUCACUGAGUCACUGUGGCCCCCCAAGUGUGACGUCUAACCUUGAUGACAGACUUAUGAACCAAAAUAACUCCAGAUUAACAAUCUACACAGAGUGCACCAUUGGCGAAUCCUCCCUAUCUCAUGACUGAUGCGGCAUGCAUAUGCAUGUGCCAAGUGUGGAAUGCGAGCAUGUCACUGACAGAAGACCAAAUGGACAUGAAGCGCCGAGCUCUGUUUUCUCGGCUCCGUCUCCUCUCGGAGAGCAGACAAGAGUGAGAAACAGCAAGUGGUUCCAGCAGAUGGGGCUGGGUCUGAUACUGCCAUCUGUCUCAGAAGUACAAGAAAAUGAGUAACGGGGCAGCGGCUGUGCUACACGGAACAUGCUCUAUAUAUGUGGAGAUGCAAGCUUACAGGACGAGAAGAGUUAGGAAAUAUAAAAUGAAAGAAGCUGCAAGAACACUCCUGCAAACCUCCUGCGCUUCCCAACCAUGUCUGCAGCAGCCAUCGACCCACCGAGGAGUCCUUUCUCCCCCAGCAUCUCCGUCCCCUCUGAGACUGUCUCCGCUAACUUCUCCUUCCUCAUAAUAAACUUAUCAGUUUCCUCCGA